rnacentral:rRNA from 1 species
UACGAAGGGGGCUAGCGUUGUUCGGAAUUACUGGGCGUAAAGCGUGCGCAGGCGGUUCUAUAAGACAGAUGUGAAAUCCCCGGGCUCAACCUGGGAACUGCAUUUGUGACUGUAGAGCUGGAGUACGGCAGAGGGGGAUGGAAUCCGCGUGUAGCAGUGAAAUGCGUAGAUAUGCGGAGGAACACCGAUGGCGAAGGCAAUCCCCUGGGCCUGUACUGACGCUCAUGCACGAAAGCGUGGGGAGC